AGUCUGAGCAUUGAAUUUCAAAUUUUAUUUUCUAUAAAGCAAUUUUUUUAUAAAAAUAUGAAAACUCUAACAAAACUCAAACUCGGUGUAGUAGACAAUUGGAAAUUGCGUAUCGCAUUCUCGUUCGUUGUGGGCCAUAUAAUAAUUCUUGUCGUGCCAUUCUUCUCUGUGAUUUUUCUCCUCAUGGAUAUUCUUGGCGAGGGGACGAAGUCAAACCCUGGUCAUAUUCGCGAAGAAAAUUAUUACACGGCUUUAACAGAAGGCCUACUUCUAAUUUCCCUGAUCGUGACAUUUUUCCUUGAAACGAUAACCAUGUUUUCGCCCCGAUUUGGAAAAAUGGUUGUCCUCGAGGUCGUGUUAGUGAUGGGAU